CCAUACCAAUUUGCUUUUCUCUUGUUUCUCCCCCUUCCCUUCCUUUCUUUUCCUCUUAUCUGAAUAAUAUCUAUUUCAUUUCAUUCCCCAAAAUAAGUUGCUUGCAAUUGAUGUACCACGAAUGCUUCUGAGGUAAAUAUUUCUGCUAUGGAAUUCUUCCUUGAUUCGAAUGAACAAGUUGUUACAAUCGGAAAUGGACAACAAUGAUGAAGACGAAAGAAACUUCAUCAAGACAAUUGCAGUUAAGUUGCUUUAGGGUGUAGAAUUGUAGAUUAAUCAUCUUUUUUUUCUCACUCAUAUAUCCUGAACUUCUUAGUAUUUUCAAAGAUGACGAAAGAAGGGCUAUUUUACCCUGUAGGUUCUCUUUUCUUAGACUUCAGCUCUGAAAAUACAAUAAAUAUAUAUAUAAUUGGAUAAUAAUUAAAAUUUAUUAUUUUUAAUUAUCAAAAAA